UAAUACUCCAUAGAUCAUGGGAUCUGGAAUGACCCAUGGUUGAAAGUUCCGGCGCUUAAGGAUCGCUCUGCGGCUUAUCAGGUUGUAGUGGGUGUAACGUACCCCCUAGCCAGUGACGAGUAUGGGCCUUGAGAGAGGGAGCCCAGAGUUGGAUUCUGAGACACGAAUCCAGGCCCUACGGGGCGCAGCAGUCGCGAAAACUUCACACUGGGGGCAACCCCGAUGAGGGAAUUCCUAGUGCUAGGACAUUUGUUCUAGCUUUUCUCUAGCGUAGAUAACUAGAGGAAUAAGGGCUGGGUAAGACGGGUGCCAGCCGCCGCGGUAAUACCUGCAGCCCAAGUGGUGGUCGAUUUUAUUGAGUCUAAAGCGUUCGUAGCCGGUUUGAUAAAUCCUUGGGUAAAUCGGGAAGCUUAACUUUCCGACUUCCGAGGAGACUGUCAAACUUGGGACCGGGAGAGGCUAAGGUACUUCUGGGGUAGGGGUAAAAUCCUGUAAUCCUAAAAGGACCACCGGUGGCGAAGGCGUCUAGCUAGAACGGAUCCGACGGUGAGGGACGAAGCCCUGGGUCGCAAACGGGAUUAAAUACCCCGGUAGUCCAAGGUGUAAACGCUGCCGACUUGGUGU
rnacentral:rRNA from 1 species